rnacentral:rRNA from 1 species
CCUGACUGCUAUCGGAUUGAUACUAAGCCAUGCGAGUCUUUGUGGCAAUACAAGGCAUACGGCUCAGUAACGCGUAGUCAACCUAACCUAUGGACGGGAAUAACCUCGGGAAACUGAGAAUAAUGCCCGAUAGAACACUAUACCUGGAAUGGUUUGUGUUCCAAAUGAUUUAUCGCCGUAGGAUGGGACUGCGGCCUAUCAGUUUGUUGGUGAGGUAAUGGCCCACCAAGACUAUUACAGGUACGGGCUCUGAGAGGAGUAGCCCGGAGAUGGGUACUGAGACACGGACCCAGGCCCUAUGGGGCGCAGCGGGCGAGAAAACUUUGCAAUGUGCGAAAGCACGACAAGGUUAAUCCGAGUGGUUUCUGCUAAAGGAACCUUUUGUUAGUCAUAGAACCACUAACGAAUAAGGGGUGGGCAAGUUCUGGUGUCAGCCGCCGCGGUAAAACCAGCACCUCAAGUGGUCAGGAUGAUUAUUGGGCCUAAAGCAUCCGUAGCCGGCUCUGUAAGUUUUCGGUUAAAUCUGUACGCUCAACGUACAGGCUGCCGGGAAUACUGCAGAGCUAGGGAGUGGGAGAGGUAGACGGUACUCGGUAGGAAGUGGUAAAAUGCUUUGAUCUAUCGAUGACCACCUGUGGCGAAGGCGGUCUACCAGAACACGUCCGACGGUGAGGGAUGAAAGCUGGGGGAGCAAACCGGAUUAGAUACCCGGGUAGUCCCAGCUGUAAACUAUGCAAACUCAGUGAUGCAUUGGCUUGUGGCCAAUGCAGUGCUGCAGGGAAGCCGUUAAGUUUGCCGCCUGGGAAGUACGUACGCAAGUAUGAAAC